rnacentral:rRNA from 1 species
CGCUGGCGGCGUGCCUAAUACAUGCAAGUCGAACGGUCUUUUCUAUGGAAGCUUGCUUCCACUGAGAAGAUAGUGGCGAACGGGUGAGUAACACGUGGGUAACCUGCCCAUAAGAGGGGGAUAACAUCCGGAAACGGGUGCUAAUACCGCAUAGUUUUCUUGAUCGCAUGAUUGAGAAAGGAAAGACGGCCUUUGUGCUGUCGCUUAUGGAUGGACCCGCGGCGUAUUAGUUAGUUGGUGAGGUAACGGCUCACCAAGACGAUGACUACGUAGCCGACCUGAGAGGGUGAUCGGCCACAUUGGGACUGAGACACGGCCCAAACUCCUACGGGAGGCAGCAGUAGGGAAUCUUCCGCAAUGGACGAAAGUCUGACGGAGCAACGCCGCGUGAGUGAAGAAAGGUUUUCGGAUCGUAAAACUCUGUUGUCAGAGAAGAACAAGUUGGAGAGUAACUGCUCCAGCCUUGACGGUAUCUGACCAGAAAGCCACGGCUAACUACGUGCCAGCAGCCGC